rnacentral:rRNA from 1 species
ACCAACAGGGAUUGCCUUAGUAACGGCGAGUGAAGCGGCAACAGCUCAAAUUUGAAAGCUGGUCCUUUCAGGGCCCGCGUUGUAAUUUGUAGAGGAUGAUUCGGCGAGGGCUCCCGCCUAAGUCCCCUGGAACGGGGCGUCAUAGAGGGUGAGAAUCCCGUAUGCGGUGGGUUGCCUUAGCCAUGUGAAUCUCCUUCGACGAGUCGAGUUGUUUGGGAAUGCAGCUCUAAAUGGGAGGUAAAUUUCUUCUAAAGCUAAAUACCGGCCAGAGACCGAUAGCGCACAAGUAGAGUGAUCGAAAGAUGAAAAGCACUUUGGAAAGAGAGUUAAAAAGUACGUGAAAUUGUUGAAAGGGAAGCGCUUGCAACCAGACUUGUCCGCAGUUGCUCAGCCGGUCUCCUGACCGGCGUACUCUUCUGCGGCCAGGCCAGCAUCAGUUCGGGCGGCCGGAUAAAGGCCCCGGGAAUGUAGCUCCUCUCGGGGAGUGUUAUAGCCCGGGGUGGAAUGCGGCCAGCCUGGACUGAGGAUCUCGCUUCGGCUAGGAUGCUGGCGUAAUGGUUGUAAGCGGCCCGUCUUGAAACACGGACCAAGGAGUCUAACAUCUAUGCGAGUGUUUGGGUGUCAAACCCAUACGCGUAAUGAAAGUGAACGGAGGUGGGAACCCGCAAGGGUGCACCAUCGGCCGAUCCUGAUGUCUUCGGAUGGAUUUGAGCAAGAGCAUAGCUGUUGGGACCCGAAAGAUGGUGAACUAUGCCUGAAUAGGGUGAAGCCAGAGGAAACUCUGGUGGAGGCUCGCAGCGGUUCUGACGUGCAAAUCGAUCGUCAAAUUUGGGUAUAGGGGCGAAAGACUAAUCGAAC